UAACUUAGUAAAUUUCAAAAUAAAAAGCUAUAAUAUACUGAAAUUUGUUAAAAUAUGGUUUUAACUUAGUAUGAAAUAUGGUUUUAACUUAGUAUAUAACUAUGUUGAUAAAUCUGAUAUACAGAUUUAUCAACAUAGACAAAUAUAGCAUCGCCAUGUUACUAGGUUGAGGCUACUAUGUUUAUGUGAAUGCAGACUAUGUUUUGUGAAUGCAGACCCAACGCAGUAAUAAAGUAGUAAACUUAUCUUACUAUUUACUAAAUGUCAGGAAAUUACAAUAGUUUGAUAUGGCAAUAUAAUGGCAAUAGCUUGCACUUGGGGAAGUAGCUUCAUGAAAAGCAGUUUCAUAUUCACAUUUAGGGUGGAAUGCAAGAAGUAAACUUGAGUCAAGUUCGACUUGAACUUUAUUUUGUAACCACACUCUAAAAACAGUCCGUUAAAAAAAGUAAUGGAUUGCUUUUUUUUGUUAAAUUAACGGAUUAAUUCGUUACCAAAAACCAGAAAAUUAACGGAGUAAACUUAACUAUUUACGGAUUCUUUGAAAUUUCGUUAAUUCAACGGAUUAAAUAUUCUAAUCGGUCAAAAAAAAAAUUUCAGUAUAUUAUAGCUUUUUAUUUUGAAAAUGAAAAAGUUUUGAAUGCGUUUUUCUCACAUUUUCAUUUUCAUCGUAGAUAAAAGUUGGUUGCAGUAAGUGUAAUAUGCCAUUUUUUAAAAAGCUUUACAUUUAGUAGACAAAACAAAUAGAUAAAUAUAAUUUAAAUUACGCUCUGUUAUUUGAACUUCGAAGGUUAUUUAGGUUAUUUUAAAUUUUCUAUAUAAAGCUUUAUAUAGAAAAUUUAACCAUAAGGUUUAUUUUGUUUUAAAUCAAAAGCCAUUAGUAUUACUAAAUAAUAUAUAAUAACAUAUAUGGUAAGUUAACCCAUAUCAUAUAUGGUAAGUUACUACAUGUCCAAAUCUAAAAAAUUAUGCAAGAAUAUAUGCAAUCCAUAUAGUCUAUAUUAUUGAAAUAAAAGUUCAACUAAUCCUUUACUAGUAAAAAAGGGCUAGUUGAACAAUUAUUUCUAUAAUAUAGACUAAAUGGAUUAUUUAUAGUCUUUUUAACUUUUAAUUUUAGACAUAUGACAUGUAGUAACAUGCCAUAUUAUUUUAAAUCAGUUGUAAAAUUAAAAAUGUUAACAUCUUUGAUAGGUAUAUUUAUUUAGGUUAGUUACAGCUAAGUUUACAUGGCUAGUUAAUAUGCUUUUAUAAAUUGCAAUUUUUAUUAAUUUCCAAAUAAAACAUGUGGCAUCCAAUAUCAUAAACUAAGUUUAUAGUGGUGUGUUUAUAUUAUUUCAGAAUUUUUUGUUUUAGACACAUGGCAUUUGCUAUCCCACUGUAAGUUAAAACUAGUUGUAAAAUUAAAAAAUUUAUAUUAGAACUUCUAUUUCUUUUAACAUUCAUGUUUAUUCAAUUGAGUUACAACUAAGGUUUUAUAUGAGUUAUUUAUACUAUCUUAGAAUUUGCUGCUUUAGUGGCACGGCAUUUAGUGUCACAUUGUAGGUUUAAAUUGGUUAUAGAAUUUAUAUUGUAACUUGCAUAUUUAUUUAGUUGAGUUUAAUCUAAGUUUAUAUUUGAUGUGUUUGUAUUAUUUUAGAAUUUGCUGUUUUAGACACGUGGCAUGUGGUAUCCCACUAAUUUGCUGUUUUAGACACGUAGCUUGUGAUAUUCCACUAGUUAGCUAUUUUAAACAUGUGACAAGUGGUAUGACACUGUAUUGACGUAUGUGAAAUGUAUAGAGUCUUUCAGUUAUCAGAUAAUAUCAAGGAGUUGAAAGCAUGGUGUCCGAUUUAAAGUGCGAACCUGUGUACGAGUAACAACAGUAUUCAAAACCAAAACCUAUUUAAACCAACCAAACCAAAACUAGCGACCAAAAACUAAUAUCUUGGCAUUGGUUUAUUUUAAACAUUUAUUAUAUAUAUGUGUGUGUUUUAUAUAAAUGUACUAGCUGGAGUAUA